rnacentral:rRNA from 1 species
CUGGACUAGAAUGUGAGGGAAGUUCGUCUAAUAGUGAACGUCUGGGAAACUAGACCCAAAACAAGGUGCUGCAUGGCUGUCGUCAGCUCGUGUCGUGAGAUGUUGGGUUAAGUCCCGCAACGAGCGCAACCCUUAUCAACAGUUACCAUCAUUAAGUUGGGGACUCUGGAGGGACUGCUGAUCUAUUGAUCGGAGGAAGGGGGGGAUGACGUCAAGUCAUCAUGGCCCUUACGAGUAGGGCUACACACGUACUACAAUGGUCGGUACAGAGGGAUGCAAUGCCGCGAGGCGGAGCGAACCCCACAAAGCCGAUCGUAGUCCGGAUUGGAGUCUGCAACUCGACUCCAUGAAGCCGGAAUCGCUAGUAAUCGCAGAUCAGAAUGCUGCGGUAAUACGUUCCCGGG